UACGGAGGGUGCAAGCGUUGUUCGGAAUUACUGGGCGUAAAGCGCGUGUAGGCGGUUGAGCGGGUCAGAUGUGAAAACCUUCCGCUUAACGGAAGAAGUGCAUUUGAAACUACUCGACUGGAGUUCGGGAGAGGAGAGUGGAAUUCCCGGUGUAGAGGUGAAAUUCGUAGAUAUCGGGAGGAACACCGGUGGCGAAGGCGGCUCUCUGGUCCGAUACUGACGCUGAGACGCGAAAGCGUGGGGAG
rnacentral:rRNA from 1 species